GAAUGAGUGAGAGAGUAAGAGAAUCACGGGUAGCUCCGCAAAAUGCGGACGACCCUAGGUGACUUAUAAAGAGAGUGAGAAAGUAAGAGAAUCACGGGUAGCUCCGCAAAACGCGGACGACCCUUAGUGAUGGAUAAAGAGAAUGAGUGAGAGAGUAAGAGAAUCACGGGUAGCUCCGCAAAAUGCGGACGACCCUAGGUGACUUAUAAAGAGAGUGAGAAAGUAAGAGAAUCACGGGUAGCUCCGCAAAACGCGGACGACCCUUAGUGAUGGAUAAAGAGAAUGAGUGAGAGAGUAAGAGAAUCACGGGUAGCUCCGCAAAAAGCGGACGACCCUAGGUGACUUAUAAAGAGUUUCGGAAGUAUGGGAAGGAAAUGUAAUAACAAUAAUUUACUUUUAAUAAAUAAUUCUAAAUUGUUAAUGGUAAAUAUAACAGGAUUUUGAAUAAAGUUUAGUCGGGUGGUUAACCAAGAAUUAUUUGGAUUAAUUAGUUGAAGAAUUUAAGCACUUACUACUUGUUGAGUGCGAUGAUAAAAUAACGUGAUCGACCCUGUAGAUUUUGGCUCUCGAGCUCGUCGGGUGGAGGUUGACUGCCUCAGUGUUCACAAUAAGGUUGAUUGGUUCGGACAGUCUUGGUAACACUAAACGCACUAUAAGAUCUUAACGCGAAUUUCACUGAGGGCAGGAAUCGGUUCACGAUAAAGUCUUGAGUGCUUAAGGUACGUCACAAAGUCUUUUUCGCGAGGACACGGCACUCUUGGCGCUAUAUUCUCGACCGAGUAUAAGGAGACUGCCCGAAAGACUGAACCUUUGGAACGUUAGAGAGAGCGUCGCGUGGUCUUGUCCGACGUUUAUUAAACCCUUUUGCUCCUCCUCUCCAUUGGUUUGUUAAUCUAUUUUAACGAAUAGUUGUUUCUAAUCACGCCCUCCGAUUUUUCCUAGGGCGUUGCUCUAGAUUCUUAGAUCAUAGG